rnacentral:rRNA from 1 species
AUUGAACGCUGGCGGCAUGCCUUACACAUGCAAGUCGAACGGCAGCACGGGAGCAAUCCUGGUGGCGAGUGGCGAACGGGUGAGUAAUAUAUCGGAACGUGCCCAGUCGUGGGGGAUAACGUAGCGAAAGCUACGCUAAUACCGCAUACGAUCUAUGGAUGAAAGCGGGGGAUCGCAAGACCUCGCGCGAUUGGAGCGGCCGAUAUCAGAUUAGGUAGUUGGUGAGGUAAAGGCUCACCAAGCCGACGAUCUGUAGCUGGUCUGAGAGGACGACCAGCCACACUGGGACUGAGACACGGCCCAGACUCCUACGGGAGGCAGCAGUGGGGAAUUUUGGACAAUGGGCGCAAGCCUGAUCCAGCAAUGCCGCGUGCAGGAUGAAGGCCUUCGGUGUAACUAGCUUUGUACGGU